CUCCUUGUAGUUCAAUGGAUAGAACGGGCGCCUCCUAAGCGCCAGAUACAGGUUCGAUUCCUGUCGAGGGGA
rnacentral:tRNA from 1 species